rnacentral:tRNA from 1 species
UCCCUGGUGGCUCAGUGGUAAAGAAUCUGCCUGCAAUGCAGGAGACCAGGGUUCGCUUCCCGGGUUGGGAA